UCCAGCAGCACAUCGGGAUGGGAGACCGGGAUUGAUUCGGGGCAAGUACUCAAAGGACCAAGACUAUGUAAUAUUAUCUCCAUACAGAGCCAAGUGUGACCAGCUGCUUCGAACAAACAGCAGAUGCUGCCAGACCUGUUGAGUGUCUGAGGCAAUUUUUGUUUAAGAGUGUUCAUGUCAAGUCUUCAACUGCACCAGUGAAACAUGAGCACAGAUCAUGGAUGAAGAAUGGAUUACCUGACACUGAGGUCGAUGGAAUUACUGGUCACAUUAAAUAUCAUUCCACAGGGACCCCUGUUGACCAACAGACACUGUUAUCGGCGUUGGUGCUGGGACUGGAAGGAUUCAAUGGCCAGCUCUGUUCUGCCUGAGCUCGAGUUGUAAUUCCUACUGGCAUUGUUUAAGGUUUUCUGUUGAAAGUACCAUUGAAAGUAGGGUCCAGUACCUUGGCUCAGUACACACUCUAGAACGAGAAGACUCCCAAUCAGGAUCUCCAUUUUAUUGGCUCUGGGGGUGAGGAAAACCCCAGCAACAGGAACCGGAACAAAACAAGACAAAGAGGAAAUAAAAAAACGGACGCUGAAAUUGUCUCUUUUUUCACAGAUGUUAUCUUCGAUGACAGGAUAAUAAUUGAUGGAAAGGAGAAAUAAAACAAGCAAGAUUUCACAUCA